GGCUAUUAAAAAUCUAACAACCUGAGCUUGGUACAGUGGCUCAUGCCUGUAAUCCUAGUGCUUUGGGAGGCCAAGGUGGGAGGAUUGCUUGAGCCCAGGAGUUUCAGACCAACCUGGGCAACAUAGUGAGACCCUGUCUCUACCAAAAAAAGAAAAUUUUUUUUUUCAAAUUAGCUGGGCACGUUGCCAUGCACCUGUAGUCCCAGCUAUUCAGGAGGCAGAGGCAGGAGGAUCACUUGAACCCAGGAGAUCAAGGAUGCAGUGAGCCAUGAUCAUGCUCCUGGACUCCAGCCUGGGCAAGAGUGAGGCCUUGCCUCUUAUAAAAAUAAAAAAAACGUGUCUGGGUGUGGUGGCUCACACCUGUAAUCCCAGUGCUUUGGGAGGCCGAGGUGGGCCAAUCACAUGAGGUCAGGAGUUCGAGACCAGCCUGGCCAACAUGGUAAACCCCAUCUCUACUUAUAAUACAAAAAUUCACUGGGCAUGGUGGUGGGCACCUGUAAUCUCAGUUACUCGGGAGGCUGAGGUGGGAGAAUCGCUUGAACCUGGGAUGUGGAGAUUGUAGUGAGCCGAGAUCAUGCCACCGCACUCCAGCCUGAGCAACAGGGUGAGACUCCGUCUCAAAAAAAAAAAAAAAAAAAUCUAGACCCGGUGUAGUGGCUUACACCUGUAAUCCUAGCCCUUUGGGAAGCCGAGGCAGGUGAAUCGCUUGAGCUCAGGAGUUCAAGAUGAGCCUAGGCAACAUGGCGAAACUCCCUCUCUACUAAAAAUAUGAAAAUUAGCCAGGUGUGGUGGCGUGCACCUAUAGUUCCAGCUACUUGAGAGGCUGAAGUGAGAGGAUUGCUUGAACCUGGAGGAAGAGGCUGCAGUGACCUGAGAUGAUGCCACUGCACUCCAGCCUGGGUGACAAAGUGAGACCCUGUCUAAAAGAAAAAAACAAAAAGGCCAGGCGUGAGCCCCCACGCCUGGCAAUCAAAACAACAACUUUAUCCACAAUUGUCAACACCUUGUUGAGGCUCAGAAAACAAACCCCUAAAAUGAAGGUCUCAGAAACACCAGAUUUUCUCUGACCUUCUUCGCUGUCUCCGAGGACCCUUCCCCUCCGCCAGGGUUACCACAGAAACUAGAAUUAUUUUCCCCAAAGUAGGACAGAGAAACCAGAACUCCUUUUCCCCAAAGCCAGCCAUAAGCCCUAAAAAUAUGACUAACUUGCCCUCUGCCCUUCUGUGUAAAAACUGGCCAUAAAGAAAUUGGCCGGGCGCAUGGCUCACGCCUGUAAUUCCAGCACUUUGGGAGGCAGAGGCAGAUGGAUCAUUUUAGGUCAGGAGUUCGAGACCAGCCUGACCAACAUGGUGAAACCCCAUCUCUACUAAAAAUACAAAAAAAAAUUACCUGGGCACAGUGGCAUGCGCCUGUAAU
rnacentral:lncRNA from 1 species